UACAGCCAUAUCAUGUUGAAACAAAGGUUCUCAUCUGAUCACUGAAGUUAAGCAAUGUUGAUCCUGGCCAGUACCUAGAUAUGUGAUUGUUUGUGAAUACCGGAUGCUGUAAG